CGCCCCUGCACACGCCGCCUGCGCCCUCCGCCGCCCGCAGGGAGCCCUCGGUGCACGCCCCGGCGCGGGAGCGGGAGCGGGAGCGGGAGCCGCAGCCGGAGCCGGAGCCGGAGCCGGAGAGCGCGCAGGGCCGCGGGCAGCGUCGACGCGCACAAGCCCCGCUCGCCCGCGAACAAACUUUUCCGCCUCCUCCCCUCGGCGCUGCGCGAAGCCCCGGCGCGGCGGGCCGGGGGGCGGGGCGGGGCCGGGGCGGGCCGGGGGGCGGGGCCGGGGCGGGGCAGGGGCGGGGCCGGGGUCGCCCCGCCCCCGGGGAGGCCGGGCUCGGAGCCCCGGCGGCCGCGCAGGGGGGAGCGGAGCCGAGCGCGGCCGCCCCGAGGGUCCCGUCCCCGCCCCCCGGGCCGCCGUCGCCGCCGCCGCCGCGUCCUGGGAAGCCGACAGCAGACGCAGCUAAGCGAGGAGGCGGGUGUGCGCGCAGCCGGGCCCGUCCUGGGGCGGCCUUCGGGGUGGGAGGCGCGGGGCGCGCGGGAGGCAAGUCCAGUGAGCGCUGCUAUCGGGGAGCCUUUGAAUUCCAAAUUAAAAAGAAAAAGAAAAUCAGACGUGAUCCUACCCUCCACAGAUGAAACAGUGGUUUCAGUGAAAGUUCUAACAUGCUUACUGGUCUUUUUUUUUUUUUGGCCAUAUAUAUCAGCUCAAGAAAUAAAAACAAUUAAAGGUGAUCGGGGCCACAGCAGAUUGGAAACCCCAGAGUUCAUCAGUGAACACCCUGCUCCUCCAGAGAACUGCAUGGACCCCUGAACUGGAAGAACUGGGCUGGUGAACAGAGGACAGAUCAGGAUAAUUCUACUACACCUGGAUUCGCACUUCCAGCCGUGACCCAGUUUGACUUCCUAAGUGACCCCACCCCCACACCCCGGCUCAGAACUGUCUCUCCUACUGGCUGGCACAGUAACUGAAGUUUUUUUUUUAUCAUUAAGCUCAUUCCUUUAGGAUAAACUUCAUUGUCCUUUUAAAAUGAGAGGGUAAAAAAUAAAUAAAUAAAAAUUAAAAAAAUAAAAUAAGAGGGUAUUAUCUGGGAAGGGUAACAAAUUAACAUAUGAAAUUUAUUUUCAAUAGGGGUGAUACUGUGAUAUGGGCAGCUGCCACUCACUUCCCCAGAAUGUCAUGUGACCCUUCGGAAGAAGCCACUCUGCUUCUGCUCUUGCUGCCUUUGCUCAUUGCAGUGAUAUUUUCCACCCCAAGUGCAGGGGGUGUAAAAAUAAAGGAAGCAGCCCCCCCUUAUCCAUUUCCUUUGGGGGAGAAUUAGUUACACAAAGCAUGUAAAGUCGGGAGAAAUGAUCAAAACUGAUCAUUGGUAGGGGGAAGGAGAGAGCAUGCAGGGGAGUUUUAGACCACAAAUAGCUCCUUCAAGAGGGCAAGUUGGAUUCUAGGGAGUGAAACCCCUAACAGCUGUGUGGUUAGCAUGAAAGUACCAGGUGCCUGGAAAAGGAGCCCUUCUGGGUUGGAGCGGGGGUGUUAGGGAGAGUGAGAUGCCAACACAGAGUAGACCUACUUCAUAGUUUUGAGCUUUCUUUCAGUAAAUAGUGUAUAAUAGAGCCAGGUGGAGGAAUGAGACAGGGGAUCUAAAUUGUUUAUGGGAGGAUAAGACUUGAAGAGUUUAAAGCAGGAGGUAGAGACAAGUGAGGAGAGACUGAGGGGAAAAGGUAUGAGCAACAGAGAGGGUCUUAAUAGCUUUUUUGAGGAAGCAGUGAUGUCAAUGGCACAGGUGUGGAUCCAACUUAGACACCCUGUUCUAGUGUGUAAGUGCAUAUUUUCUUUUUACACGGCUGGGUUAAAUUACUUCCUCUAGGUCAUCCAAUUAAUCACUUGGAGAGCAAGGAAUAGAAUUCAGCAUUCAAGGCUCUCAUUUCACAUCUGGAGCAGGGAAGCCAGGCUUCUCCUUCCUGCAACACCUCUUCAUUUAAAAAAAAAAAAAAAAAAAAGUCUUUUGCGAGUAAGGGAAGUUUUGAGCUCUUUUAUAGAUAAUUUGCGAAACCUUCUUUCUAUUUGUGUGAUUUCAAACUAGGGCACUGUUAGGAGGCAAAAACACUAUAAAUUGCUUUCUGGUUUAUCUUUCAUUCAAGAAUUUAAAGUAUCUAUCAAAAUUAUUUUGAAUUCCCCUCCCCUCUCCUAGCUUUCAAGCUAUUAUUCUGGGGAACAAAAAAAAAAAAAAAUGAGUUACAGAUCUGAGAAAGCAGUGUGUGUGGAGCUUAACUGCUCCAUGACUGAUUGUGUGAUAUAUUGCUCUUUUCACUAAUAACCACAAAGCAGGUAGAGGCAUGGCAGGCUAAUUGGGUUUAUAUGUCCAGCUGUAAGGCUAGACACUGCAUCAUUCUUUUCAGAAACCAGUGACUUUAGGCAUGUGGAACUCGUAGUCAUGACAACAAUAAACCCGCUUUGAGUCUGAGUUUCAGCUCAGAAACUCCCUUGUCUCCAUUACUUCCUGCUCAUGACCUGACUUUUCUUACUCUCUGGGGCUGGGGGCUGGGGAUUUAUGAAAGAUCUAUUGAACAGAGCUCCAGUAUAUGUUUAAUGCUUAAAAUGUCUGGGUUGAAAGUUUUGCUUGCACAGAUGGCUAAAGGCUGGAAGGAGGAUAGAUCAAUCAUUAUUAUAGCUAAUGACACGGUUAUAAGGGCAUACACAAAGGUGAGCUGACUUGGAAAAUGGGAAAAGGCAAUGUGAAAAUAGUGACUUGGAAGCCUUUCUUUGAAUAACAUAAAAAUAUCUAUCACAAAUAAAAUGUUCUUUUAAACACACAGGGGAAUUACACUAUGAUUCUACGAGUACGUAUCCAAAAAACACAAUGAGAAGUAGUGAGGCAAAAGUUAGUACACAAAGUUGAGCGUGUGUGUGUUGUGUGUGUGUGCAUGUGGCAUUUUAAGUCUAAAGACACAACAGAUGCUUAUGACAAAAUCCACGAGCGAUCAUGUUUUGUCCCAUAUGUUUAAUGGAUUUAAUGGUAACCACUUUAGGAGAUGGUAUAGCUCAGUGACAAAAGUCAACGGCCUCCACAAAAUGGAGCAAUAUUGGAAAGUUGUCUAACUAUACAAAGUCUCUGGCUAUUCAGCUGUAAAGAGAAAUGACAUGAUUUGCCCUGUUGGGUUGUUGAGAGAUGGAAUGAGAUCAUGGAGACAAGUGGAUCCUGGUGCCUGGGACAGGGUAAGCACUCAGUGCUGGUCACUGUCACUGUUGAUGCUGCUGGUGGUGUUGAUUUGUCCAGUAAUGGAGAUCUGUCCUUCAUGAGAUUAAAAUGAUUGAGACCUUCAUUGUUACAGAGACAUGAUCACAGAGAUUGGAAGACUUAAGACUUUUUUUUCUUUGGAAAGAUGUUUUGCUGGCUUUGCUAUUUUCUCUGUAUAAUCUGCAUUUUAAGGAGAAUAGAGAAUUAUUGGCUGGAGAAGGCAGGAAGUGCAGGGUGUGAAUUGCUAACAUAAAAGAUAUAUCUGGAGACUUUUGUGCCUUUUCACUGCACACCCAACCCCCCACAACAGGAAGUCAGAAGUUCCAGCAUCAUUUUUGUUUCCUAUUCCUCUAGCACAUUGACCUAGUUUUGUAGGAUUACCUUUUUUUAAGCUUCUAUUUUCCAGCAAGUCGCUACCUCAAGCCAAUAGGCAGAGAAAUAAGACAUAGAUCAAAUCUUAGAGAGCAGCCAAAUGCUUCCUUUCUUUUCUAUGUACUGAGAAAUGGAAUGAUUUGCUUUCCUCAGAGAUCAACUUCAUGAUUUCAUGAUCAUGUAGUUAAACUUCCUAGUAAACGAGAUGCUGCCCAGAGGCCAUGUUAUUCUCUGUGACCUUGUGGAGUGUGGAUCACCGUGUAGAAACCUGAGAAAGUACAUUCAUUUGUUAAGUUAUAAUUUGAGAAGCCAUGAACCACAAACUGAUUAUGUAUUUUUUUUCUUAUAGGAGUUUAGUGGUGUUGCAAAUAAUUUAAUUUCUCUUUACAUUGUCCCCUGACUGGCAGUUACAGUUUACAGCCAUGUAAAAUUAUUUUUUUGAGAUAACACAGAUCACAUUUUUGUCUUACAAAGUUUAUGAGAGAAAUAAAUUUUUGUAUGUCCCUCAUUAGCAUGAAAGUGUUAAUAUACCUCCAGAAAAAGAGAAAUGUCUUACUUUUCUCUAAUAAUUAUAUUAAUUUUUGGACAUUUUAUUUAUUUUUUAUUUCUUUAUUUUUAAGAUUUUAUUUAUUUAUUCAUGAGAGACACAGAGAGAGAGGCAGAGGGAGAAGCAGGCCCCAUGCAGGGAGCCCAAUGCAGGACUCGAUCCCGGGACCCCAGGAUCACGCCCUGAGCCAAAGGCUCAACCACUGAACCACCCUGGUAUCUCUAAUUUUUGUACAUUUUAAAUUGAUUUAAACAAUGAGCUGAUUAAUAUGAGAGAAAUUUAAACAUUAGCAAGUAAGACAUUUGGAAGUAUAAAAUAAAUAUACAUUAUAUAAUUACUGUAUUGCAGAAAAGAUGUGAUUGAGUGAAUAACUGUUCUGGAUAUUAUAAGCAUUAAUGAAAAGUAUCAUUACAAGCUUACAAAGGACUAUUACAAUAACGGUACUAUAAAAACAAUAUUUUUCAUCCAAAAUGGGUUUGCGAUGAUAGUUUUUCACCAUCUUUUAAUUAGAUUCAGAUAAAAAUGUAGCCAAACUUUGAAGAGUUUUCCCCUUGUUUCACAAGACCUCAUAAUUUCAUAAAUAUUGGUCCUAAAGUUUCCAAGCUUUAGAGGGGAUUUUGGAAAGCACAAGUCAUUUCUUUUUACAAAGUUAGAAUGUUUAGUCUAUGCA
rnacentral:lncRNA from 1 species